rnacentral:rRNA from 1 species
AUUGAACGCUGGCGGCAUGCCUUACACAUGCAAGUCGAACGGUAACAGGUCUUCGGACGCUGACGAGUGGCGAACGGGUGAGUAAUACAUCGGAACGUGCCCAGUCGUGGGGGAUAACUACUCGAAAGAGUAGCUAAUACCGCAUACGAUCUGAGGAUGAAAGCGGGGGACCUUCGGGCCUCGCGCGAGUGGAGCGGCCGAUGGCAGAUUAGGUAGUUGGUGGGAUAAAAGCUUACCAAGCCGACGAUCUGUAGCUGGUCUGAGAGGACGACCAGCCACACUGGGACUGAGACACGGCCCAGACUCCUACGGGAGGCAGCAGUGGGGAAUUUUGGACAAUGGGCGAAAGCCUGAUCCAGCAAUGCCGCGUGCAGGAUGAAGGCCUUCGGGUUGUAAACUGCUUUUGUACGGAACGAAAAAGCUUCUCCUAAUACGAGAGGCCCAUGACGGUACCGUAAGAAUAAGCACCGGCUAACUACGUGCCAGCCGCCGCCGUAAAAC